rnacentral:rRNA from 1 species
UUGGAGGGCAAGUCUGGUGCCAGCAGCCGCGGUAAUUCCAGCUCCAAUAGCGUAUAUUAAAGUUGUUGCAGUUAAAAAGCUCGUAGUUGAAUUUCGGGAUUAGUACGCUGGUCGUGCCUUCGGUACGUACUGGUGUUACUGAUUUCUACCUUCUGACGAACCAUCAUGUCAUUAAUUUGGUGUGGUGGGGAAUCAGGACUGUUACUUUGAAAGAGUGUUUAAAGCAGGCUCGCGCUUGAAUACAUUAGCAUGGAAUAAUGAAAUAGGACGUUGAUCCUAUUUUGUUGGUUUCUAGGAUUGACGUAAUGAUUAAUAGGGAUAGUUGGGGGCAUUAGUAUUCAAUUGUCAGAGGUGAAAUUCUUGGAUUUAUUGAAGACUAACUACUGCGAAAGCAUUUGCCAAGGAUGUUUUCAUUAAUCAAGAACGAAAGUUAGGGGAUCGAAGACGAUCAGAUACCGUCGUAGUCCUAACCAUAAACUAUGCCGACUAGGGAUCGGAUGAUGUUAUUUUUAAUGACUCAUUCGGCGCCUUACGGGAAAC